UACGUAGGUGACAAGCGUUGUCCGGAUUUACUGGGCGUAAAGAGCGCGCAGGCGGUCGAUCAAGUCGAGUGUGAAAGCCCCCGGCUCAACUGGGGAGGGUCAUUCGAUACUGAUCGACUCGAAGGCAGGAGAGGGUAGUGGAAUUCCCGGUGUAGUGGUGAAAUGCGUAGAUAUCGGGAGGAACACCGGUGGCGAAGGCGGCUACCUGGACAGUGACUGACGCUGAGGCGCGAAAGCUAGGGGAGCGAACGGG
rnacentral:rRNA from 1 species